AGUGAGUAUCAUAUAUAUAUAUAUAUACACACACAUCAUUUGAACCUUUUGUAAGGUUAUGUUCAUUUUCAUCUGCUUACCUCCAAGAACAAGAAGAUUACCAAAUUCAUCUGUUUUUUGGUUGUUGUUUAAUAUUUCCUCUGAUUGGAAUUUGUUUCUUUGGUUACUGAACUUGGGUUUUAGGGUUCUUAUUUUUGGGAGUUGUUAAGUACGUGGAUUUACGUUGAAGUUGCAAGGAGAACUCGGCGGAUGCUAUUAAAUUUCCUUGGAUGAGGUGGAUCUCGAUCAAUUUAGGGUUGAUUUUUUCUUCAAUGGUGCAAGAAAAGGCAGGGAAUGUCCACCACAAAAAACCCUCUAUAUAUUUGCUUUAAAAUGGAUUGCAGUCAUCAGGUCAGGAUUGUUUCUUUUUUUGGGUAGGCAAACUUCUUGAACAAUCUGAUGCUAUUCGAGGUUAUCACGAAAACACUCUGUUCCCUCAUAUGGUAAAUUCAGACUUGCACAGACAUUAUUUUCUGUUCAAUGGUCACUAUUUUUUGAAUGUUCACAUGCAUCAAUUUCUGUUGAAUAGUUACUAUUUGUGAAUGUUUCAGUUCCAGAGGUUUAUCUACUGCAACAUUAGAAUUAUUUCAUACGGUCUUGUUGUGCAGCACUUAAUACCUAUUCCAACACUUUAUUUAGUGUGUUCUAUUAUCUAUGUUUAUUUUCAUUCUUGACGGUUUCCUUUUGGUAUUAAAAGUAAUGCAAGUUCAAAUGAUGAAUGCUUUCUAGCUAGAAAUCCUGAACUCUCGGGUUGGCCUCCAGGAAGAUUGCCUGUCCCUAUUUCCACAUCACCAAUUUUGCAAACACUCUCAAUGUCAGGAUCAAUUGUUACUGCCCAUUUGAAGAACUGUCUAGUUUAUCCAAAUCUCAGUAUCUCAGUUCCACACAACAACAAGAGUUAACAGUUGAAUACAUUGAGGAUUUUGAUGACGAUGAUGAUCUAGAUGAACUUGACAGUCAAAGGUUUUCAAGAAGAGUUCCAAUGCUGCUGGUGAUCUUGUGCUUGGAUUGCCGUUAUUUGCUACUGAUUCCAUUAUCUUCUUUCAAAAUGUAUUCUUUUCUUGCUUUUACGUGGAUGGAUGGGAGAUACUUGUACUUCAGGCUGUAUUUCUUCCUAGCUAUUGGCGAUGAUCAUCUCCGUGAAACAGCAUAUGAGUUCCUUCUUGAUGCUGCUGGACCUUCAGAUGCAUGGAGGCCUCAUUGUACCAUCGAAGGAAAUAAAGAAGGAGAAGACAUCUAGAUUAAUGACGAAGCUGGGCUGUAGUAAGAGUGACAAUGCAAUGACCCAGUCACAACAUUUAUCUGUAUUGGUCAGUUUGUUGGAGACAAUGCGUGUCCAGAUGGAGUUCAGUUAAACAUGUUGGAGGAGGGGCUUAUAAAUCAUUCUGCUACAGGGUUGGGGAAGCUGGGAUAAAAGCACAUGAGCGAAGGGUUCCUUUAGCUAAGAUAGAGGAAUCUGAGUUGAACUUCAGUACUCUUUUAUUCAGCUUCAACUCAGAGUGUGGGGGGCUAAGGAUUUGAAGGCAGUGGGUGCACAUGCUUUAACAUACACUGCAUCUCCGACUAUUGGAGGUUCAUUAUCUGUUGAGUUGCGAAUUGUCUGUCCCUGGCCCCUCGGGGGGUUUCAUGUUUGAAAAAAGUCUUUUCCUCCUCUUGCAGCAGAGAUGCAAAGGACAAUGUUUAAAAUCUUUGAGAGAGAUCGCUGUGCCACUGGCAGAAAGGCCAGCUGGAGGUGACUUAACUGGUGAAGUAUGUCACCGGGCUGAUAAUUAUCACCGGAAUGUCAAAUUAUACGAGAAUCUACUUCUCAAUGUUUUUGAUGUUUAGAUGAGGGAAAGCUCACAGAGGAAGUUAAAGAAAUUUUGGAGCUUCUUAAGUCCACAUGGCGUAAUUUGGGAAUCACAGAAACCAUCCACUACACUUGCUAUGCUUGGGUAUUAUUUUGACAGGUCGGGAGUCGAAAAUACACUGAUAUACAGCGAUAUACAUCAGCUGUAUAAAUGGGCCCAAAAAGCCCCCGUUUGUAUUUUGCUACUUUGGGCCUUAAGCCCCUUCGUCUUUUUAUUAUUAUUUGUUAGACUAGGAUAGGUGGAGAAUUGGGCCUAAAGCCCACUAAAAUAUCAAAUUUAUGUGUUAGUUUAGGACAGGUCGGGAGCCGAUUAUACACUGAUAUAUAGCGACAUACAUCAGCCGUAUAUUGCGUAUUGCAGCACAAAUGGGCCCAAAAGCCUCCAAAAUUUCAGAAAUUGUAUUUUGUUACUUUGGGCGUAAGCCCCUUUGUCUUUUACUAUUUUUUGUUAGACUAGGACAGUUGGAGGACUGGGCUAAAGCCCACUAAAAACUCACACUGAUGUGUUAGUUUAGGACAGGUCCGGAGCCGAAAAAUACACUGAUAUACAGCGAUAUACAUCAGCCAUAUAUGGGGCCCAAAAAGUCCCAAAAUUUCAGAAAUUGUAUUUUGUUACUUUGGGCCUAAGCCCUUUUGUCUUUUUAUUAUUAUUUGUUAGACUAGGA